rnacentral:rRNA from 1 species
UACGAGUGGUCCAAGCGUUAUCCGGAAUUAUUGGGCGUAAAGGGUAUGUAGGUGGUUAUGUUAGUCGGUUGUCGAACCUCCAGGCUCAACCUGGAGACAGCAUUCGAAACGGCAUGACUAGAGUAUGUUAGGGGUAAGCGGAACUCAUAGUGUAGGGGUGAAAUCCGUUGAUAUUAUGGGGAACACCAAAAGCGAAGGCAGCUUACUGGAACAUUACUGACACUGAAAUACGAAAGCGUGGGUAGCGAAUGGG